UCGCUCGCUCCUGCAGCCGCCUCCUCCCUCGCCCGCUCUGCCGUCGCCUCCUCUACUCUUCCCCCCGCCCGUGCCUCCCUGCCCCGCUCCCGUCCGCCAGCCCCACACCGCCGUCAUCUCGCCUCCGCGUCCUCUUCCUUCCUCUCCCUCCGCUCCGCCCGCGCCCGCUCCCUCCAGGGGCGACAGCGACAAGGACGGUGCGCUGCGCCCGCUCCCUCCGUGAGGCUGACUGACCUUGCCUCGCCGCUCCUCGCCCCAGUCACCGACCCGCUCCUCUGGAGGCGGAGGAACGCCUCGCGGGGUACGCCAUGCUCGUGUGGUUCCUCUUCGAGCACGCCGGGUACAGCCUCGCGUCGGUCCUCUCCAACGCCGUCCUCCUCCUCGCCGUCAUCCUCUUCUUCUGGCCAAGUCCGCCUCGCUGCUCAACAGCAAAGAAGAGGAUGGGAGAUGGGAACGAGGGUGGGCAGUGGUUAGGCAUCGGCGCCGGAGACGCGGAUCCGCGGCGGAGCAGGAUAGGUGACGAGGACGACAUGUGGCUCCUCAUGGCAAAAGUCUUGCUCGCCGUUGGUUGUAACAUCAUCGCCUCCUAGACAGGUUUGUCUGAUUCGAGAGGUGUCGUCGUCUGAGAGAUGUUGGCCAGUUAAGGUUUGUUGCACAUAAUAGUGGUGAGCCGCCUCAACACCUUGGGUGGUUGUCCUCUCCUUUGUUAUGAGCUUGCUGCCUGUUGCGCUCGCGUCGUCGCCGUUCUUGCGCCGGUGCUGCUGCUAUGUAGGGCUGCUUUGGAUGGUUGCUCAGCGCUGGGGUUGCGAUGCUUGCGGAGUGCAUGGGGGAGGCGCACAUGGUUGAUGAUUAUGUUCUAGGUUGGCCAUUGAGAGGGACGCCCAAGCAAACUCCGCCAGGUUUCAGAUAACUACUUCUGGUUAGACAGGGGAAAUAAAAGGGUAACCAUAGAUAUAUGGUCUAGCAUCACGAGGUUCAGGUUCCUGCUGUUGAUCAACCAUUGCUUCGGUGGAGCCAAGAUGAGUGCUCUACACUUACGACUCAUGCUAACUGAAUUGGUGAUGUUUGUUUCUUCACCUCGAUUGACGCCACAUGUUCCCUCCACUCGUCGGCAACCACAUCUGAAUCAUUGAGUGCAAACUGGUGAUAGCGAACUGGUCUGUUCGGCAGAAAAGACAAUUUUUUUGUGGCUGCCAGUUACAGGUUUUAUAUACUCUUACAGUCUUCAAUGUUGUUUUCAGCUCAUGUAUACAUCUAUUGCAUGUCCAUUUCCUGUUGUUUUUGUGCAGUCUAUAUUUGAGAGGUUUGACCGUGACCGAAGUGGUAAAAUUGAUGCGUCACAGCUGCGCAAUGCUCUUCUUAUUCAGUUUCUCCAACUGCACUAGACUUGCUCGUGUCUAAAUUCGACAAGACUGGGGCAUUAGCAAAGCAGUCCAAUAUGGUUGCCGCGUCGUCCUCGUCUUCGGCUUGCAAGGGAUUGGAUCUGGUGUGAUUGAUUCUUCCACUCGCAAGGUUAUGAUGGCCGACGAACAACUCCAAGUUCACGGGUCACCGGGCUCGCCGGGUGACGCUGGCUCCAACAGUUGUCUGUGAGCAUUUGCCCAGGGAGGUUGUGCGGUGCUGAGCGGAUGUACGGUGAGUUCUUCAUAAUGGAGUCAAGUCACACUUGCCAUAUGGAUCAUAUUAGGAGCAGGGAAAAAUGGAGCUGCAACCAAGCUAACAAGAACCAAUCUAAAGUUCUGAAGCUUACUGAAUCAAGAUGCAAGAAGAUGAGGAUCAAUUUUUGGGAGGGGCGCUGGUACCUUCAACAGCAGCAGAGCCGGGGUCACCUGGACGAAUAAGAAGAUUGGGGCCACCUGGACGAAGAUCGGGAGCUGCACCACCACUAGCAGAAGCAAUAGAGGCGGAGGAAGACGGAAACAACAGAAGAGGCCGGAGUGGCGAAAGACAACGUGCCGACGGCCGAAGCGGACGGCGCAGGCCCUGCGAGCGGUGGUGGUCACCUCUGUGGCAGCUGCGCAGGUGGGCGGCGGUGCUGGUGACUCGAGAAGGACGACAAGGAGGUUCUGCCCGUCAGCCGUGCAGCUGCCGUCCGUCAAGGUGUCACCGCAGAGGAGCAGGUGGGCGGGGGGAAGCUCGCCUCCGUGUGCGCAGGUAAGCAGGGGUGCAAGUUGGCAGCUGUGGUGCAAGCUGAGCUCUACGACGGCUAGGGCGCGCGGUGCCCCGCGGUGACAGGGGAGACGGUGGCUGGGGCACGCAGUGCCCGCGUGCGACGGGGGUGGAAGAUGGGUUGAUUAGCAAGAGAAUUAAAAGGAUAAGGGUUUAUUUGCAAAAUUAUAAAUGAACUAAGAUGAGGACAAGUUUUCCCGGACGGAUAGAGUAUUUGAUACAUAUAAAUAUUGUGCUCAAGAAAGCUUAUUUAUCUACUGUUGCAUACUUCAAUAUCACCUAUGUAUAUGCCUUUGAAUGUCAACAUAUAAGUGCUUUAUCAUCCCCAACAUUCAGGAUACAUAGACGGGGAUGAUGUUGCUCAAAGGCGAGCACACAUUACCGUGUUGAAGGAGUUUUGCCUCUGUUUAUGCCUCAAAUAUCUA